CGUUUACACCCGUAUCGGGCCGGUAUCCGAUACAGACCAGAGGCCGUCGUUUUUCCCCCACCUCGCCUCUCGCUCGAGACCUAGAUCGAGUUGCGCCGCCGGGAGGCGCCGGCGCUGGUGUCCACGAGGAGGUCAAGCGACGGCGUUCGCGACGGCGACGUGGUGAGGCGCAGAAGACGGUGGCCACGACGGGGUUUAGACGCGCCGACGACGGCGACUCGUUCCUGGCCACGACGGUGACGGCGACUCGUUCCUGGCCACGACGGUGACGGCGACUCGCUCCUGGCCGCGACGGCGACGCUGGCCGGCAGUCGUGACCUGACCGUGACGGCGAACCGCUCAUCCUCCUCCGCUCCACCAAGAACUGUUAAGAGUGAUUUGGAGGAUUCAAGAUUCUGUGAAGCUCUUUUGACAUUUAAAGCUCAGAACUGAAGGAUGUCCUUUCACAUGAUUCUAUGAUUACCCGAGUCCAUGAAGCAAUCAAUAAUAUUCCUGAAAUACUUUAUGUCUAAGCGCACAAUGGUUGAACAAUUGCCUCAAUAAAUUUGGUUAUGUAGCAUGCGGACGAGACGAGACAAGUAUGCCUCGAUAAAUUUGUAAUUUAAACUACUGACUUUGAGCACUAUGAGUUAUCGGAACUAUGUUCAAAUGGAUGAUUGCAAAAAUAUUAUCCUUUUUUUGAUGUGGUUGUACUGUUAUAUAAAUAAAAAAUUUAGCUCAUUUUAUACA